UACGUAGGGUGCAAGCGUUGUCCGGAAUUAUUGGGCGUAAAGAGCUCGUAGGCGGUCUGUCGCGUCGGCUGUGAAAACUCGGGGCUCAACCCCGAGCCUGCAGUCGAUACGGGCAGACUAGAGUGCUGUAGGGGAGACUGGAAUUCCUGGUGUAGCGGUGAAAUGCGCAGAUAUCAGGAGGAACACCAAUUGCGAAGGCAGCUCGCUGGGACGUUACUGACGCUGAGACGCGAAAGCGUGGGGAGCAAACAGG
rnacentral:rRNA from 1 species